AUUGAACGCUGGCGGCAUGCCUUACACAUGCAAGUCGAACGGUAACGGGACUUCGGGUGCCGACGAGUGGCGAACGGGUGAGUAAUACUAAGGAACGGGCCCGAUCGCGGGGGAAAAGGGGGAGCAAGCUGUGCUAAUACCGAAUACGGGCUACGGAAGAAAACAGGGGACCGCAAGGGCUAGAGAGGGCGUUGCGGUCGCUGGCAGAUUAGGUAGUUGGUGAGGUAAAAGCUUACCAAGCCGACGAUUAGUAGCUGGUCUGAGAGGAUGAUCCGCCACACUGGGACUGAGACACGGUCCAGACUCCUACGGGAGGCAGCAGUGGGGAAUUUUGGGCAAUGGGCGCAAGCCUGAUCCAGCCAUGCCGCGUGCAGGAUGAAGGCCUUCGGGUUGUAAACUGCUUUUGUACGGAACGAAAAGCCUUCUUUUAAUACAGGAGCGUCAUGACGGUACCGUAAGAGUAAGCACCGGCUAACUACGUG
rnacentral:rRNA from 1 species